UAUUGCUUCGGCAAUACUUAUACUAAAAUUGGAACGAUACACAGAGAAGAUUAGCAUGGCCCUUGCGCAAGGAUGACACGCAAAUUCGUGGAGCGUUCCAUAUUUUU